UCUAAUAUGGCAGAUUAGUGCAAUAGAUUUAAAUUCUAUAUAUAUAUUAAUAUUAAUAUUAUUAGAA
rnacentral:tRNA from 1 species